rnacentral:rRNA from 1 species
GACGGGGGGAGCAAGCGUUGUUCGGAUUUACUGGGCGUAAAGGGCGUCUAGGCGGAUUGGCAAGUCAGAUGUGAAAUCCCUCGGCUCAACCGAGGAUCUGCAUUUGAUACUGCUAGUCUUGAGUACGGAAGAGGAAAGCGGAAUUCCUGGUGUAGCGGUGAAAUGCGUAGAUAUCAGGAAGAACACCGGUGGCGAAGGCGGCUUUCUGGUCCGAUACUGACGCUGAAGCGCGAAAGUGUGGGGAGCGAACAGGAUUAGAUACCCUGGUAGUCCACACUGUAAACGAUGGGUACUAGGUGUCGGGGAUUCGACCUCUCCGGUGCCGCAGCUAACGCAUUAAGUACCCCGCCUGGGGAGUACGGUCGCAAGGUUGAA